rnacentral:sRNA from 1 species
GGGUUACUCCUUGGGCGCUUACGCGCUGGUUUAAUAAAGAUUCGCACCUCUAUCAAACCGGGUAACCCCACCCUUUGGCAAGGCCUUACUGUACGAUCAAGUUGGAACUACUACAAAGUCAAUGUAACGCAAUGGCAAUUUUUGUAUAGGAUUUUUGAAUUGAUGACUGCAUGUGUUGCUCCCUAUCUGUAU